CUUCUCAUUCUUUGAAUAAGAAUUUCACCCAUUUUUCCUCUCCCAGAGCCUCAGAGAGAGAGUGAGACCGGGAAAGAUGACUCGGGGAAAGCAGAAGAUUGAAGCGCAAAAACGAAAUGCGGAGAAGAAUCAGAAGCAAAAAGGGUCUCAAUUUGAGGCCAGAGCCGUUGCUCUCAAAAUCACUUGUCCUAUUUGCAAGGUGCAACUUGCAAAUCCAAAGCAGCUUGGUGAUCACUAUGCUUCCAAACAUCCCAGAGAAAAGCCUCCAGCCGAAUCAGAAUGACCCCUUUCUCAUGUGGAAUACAGUGUGACAAUAAAAAACGAAGUAAAAAAAUCCUUUGCUGUGUUUUUCAACGUGUUUCAGAAAGUUAGUUAUACGUUGACUUGUGUUAAAUCUCUCCAGCUCCCUUCGCGUGCCUCUGGUUUGUUAAACGUUGUAUGACUAUGAAGGAUGAUUGUUAAUGUUGUCAUAUCUAGAGUUAUAUGGGCUGUGAAAUGAAAAUUUUGUCCAUUUUAUACCAUAUGCCUUUAACUACCGCUAGCUUGAAGUUUCUACUGGGAGAAAGAAUGAUACUAAUAGAAACCAGAAAUUUUAUGCUGUAGCCCCAGGUUGUGUAUUUAAUUCUCUCCCUUGUUAGAUAUUUUUCGUGCCCCCUAGGGAUGUAUGUUACCAAGUGAAAAUUAGGCUCUUUCGAGCAUUGUUGGUUUUAAAAUCCAAA